ACCUUUCAUUAUCACCAUUCGGGUGGCCCAAAACACAUUGACACCACUCUGACUAGUGUCAAAUUUGAAGAACUGUGUUCAGAUUUGUUAGACAUUCUAAUUGCCUGCUUAAGUUCACUGGAUUACAACUCAUAAGCUUUGAGCAUCAGUUGAAACUUCCAUGAGAGAUGCAAAGCUUUCCUUCAAAGAUUUGGAUGUAAUUCAACUUGUAUCCCAGCUGUUUAGGAGCUGAAAAAUAUUGAUGAAGAUUUUGUUCUUGGGGCUGUAGUUCAGAAGGACUUGAAACUUUGGGUGGUGUCAACUUCACCAACUUCCAAAUCAGAGGUGUUCUGAUCACCGCAACAGAUGGAUGGACCAAUGAAGAGAUUAAUGUCUAUCUGGGUGAGAAAGAGGUAUUUAUCUCUCUGAAAAAAGGGUGAGAGAGAGAGUUUGUGAGGGACAACCAGUGCUAGCACCAUGCCAAGUGAUGGGGCAUUGAGCACUAGUUGAAACUUCCUUAAGAGAUACAAAGCUUUACUUCAAAGAUUUUGAUGAGAUUGAAUUGGAAACACAGAAUGAAAGGAUGUGUAUAUAUCGAGGCAUAUUCAGAACCAUAUGAACAAGUGCAACAAGUCAACAGCUAAGACUGGUGUUUUUUAGCUGGAGAAGUUAUUGACAUUGUACUCUUGGAUGUCUUACCGUAGAAGGACUUGAAACUUUGGGUGGUGUAAUGACAGAUUAUCCCAAGGAACACAACUUCACAAACUUUCAAAUCAGUAAAGGGGUUCUCCACCACAGCAAAUGGACAGACCAAUGAAGAGAUCAAUGUCUAUUAGGGUGAGAGAGAGGUAUUUGUCUCUCUGAAAAAAGGGUGAGAGAGAGAGAUCAUGAGGGACAACAAAUCCCUUGGAAGCUUUUGCUUAAGACACCAAAACCGGUGCUAACACCAUCACACCAUGCCAAGUGAUGAGGAGGGUAGGAUGGUUAAAGAAACUGAAAAUUUUGCAAAAGGAAGACAAGGAAAAGAGGGAGGCCAUAGACACAAAGAAUCAAGCUGACUCAGUUUUGUACCAAACUAGAAGCAACUAAAAGAGCUGGGAGAAAAUAUUCCUAGCUAGACAAGGAAUCAAGAAAUUAUUUAAUUGUGGAAGUCAAUGUUGAUGUGAAUUUGAAUUGGAUUGUCUAUAAGCUUUUUUUGGAUUGACUUCUUUGCAUGGACGACCACAAUUGUGUAGCCUUGAAUUAUGUUAUAGUUGAGAGAGAACUCUUUGAUAUAGAGUUAUUUGGGUGUAUUGGGGUUUGGGUUUGUGAGAGUGGGUUUACACCACUUUUGUACUCUCCAUAUUUGUUAGCAAAACUUUCUCCUUGUCACCGCCCGUGGAUGUAGGCCAAAGGCUGAACCACGUAAAUCCUUGGUGUUCUCUCU